AGCCUCAAGCCCUCCCUCAGGUUUGAAGCCUCAAGCCCCUCUCCUGCUUCAAACCACCAUCUCUCCUCCGUUCUCUCCCUUCUUCCCUCUCUCCUUCAAAGUAAACCAAACAAUCUCAAAGCCAUGGACCAACACAAGACCGACGACAAUCUCUGUUACGUCAAUGGCCUCACACGUGUUCUCGCUGCCGAUGUCUCCAUUUCCUUUAGCUAAUGGUUAAGCUCGUGGAGUUCUGUGGCUACUCUGUAGAUUUGAGGUGUCAAUUGCUGGACGAAGGUGUUCAGAACAUCGACGUCGGUGGUGAUUGCGAGAAGAAAGAAGAUGAAGACGAUUUUCUCUUUGGCAUGCACCAACCUUGACAGAUCGCCGAUUUCCACCGACAAUAUAUUCCAAAAUGGCUAGAUUCAUCCUGUGUUCCCCAAUUUUCAAUCCGGAUCUCCUGUUCGCUCUGUUCUCAGAUCCCGCCUACGAUGAUUUUUCCAUAGCCAAAAGGGUUGCCGCUUCCUCUUCCUCUUUGUGGCAUCCAUUGAAGAGCGGGAUACGCCGAACUCGGCAAAGUCAUUUUACAACUCAGGAGGUGGACUCGAGUCCUGAUCCAUGAGAGCAACCAGCUUCUAAGUUUGAUCAUCAACACCUUUUACAACAGCAAGGAGAUCUUUCUCCGUGAGGUCAUCAGUUACGCCUCUGAUAGGUAUUUCUUUUUGUCUUUGCGAUUGUAUCGAGUGAAAUUGUGGACAAUUGGAGGUGGCUACAAAGGAUAUCGAAUCUCUUGUUAGGCUUUUUUGGAUUUUUUGUAUGAAA